AUUGAACGCUGGCGGCAUGCUUUACACAUGCAAGUCGAACGGCAGCGCGGGGCAACCUGGCGGCGAGUGGCGAACGGGUGAGUAAUAUAUCGGAACGUACCCAGAAGUGGGGGAUAACGUAGCGAAAGUUACGCUAAUACCGCAUACGAUCUACGGAUGAAAGUAGGGGACCGCAAGGCCUUAUGCUUUUGGAGCGGCCGAUAUCUGAUUAGCUAGUUGGUGAGGUAAAGGCUCACCAAGGCGACGAUCAGUAGCUGGUCUGAGAGGACGACCAGCCACACUGGAACUGAGACACGGUCCAGACUCCUACGGGAGGCAGCAGUGGGGAAUUUUGGACAAUGGGCGCAAGCCUGAUCCAGCAAUGUCGCGUGAGUGAAGAAGGCCUUCGGGUUGUAAAGCUCUUUUGUCAGGGAAGAAACGGUAGAGGCUAAUAUCCUUUGCUAAUGACGGUACCUGAAGAAUAAGCACCGGCUAACUACGUG
rnacentral:rRNA from 1 species